CGAAACGCACCGUUUACCCAGCGCAUUCGAUGAGCCUCUAAACCUAAACUUGCAUCAGUUUACACAAAAUGUAAACCUAAUUUUUGUAUCGUUGCGCCGUCUCCGCCUUCGACCCUCUCUCUAACCAUAGUACAAACCAAUUAUCCAAUGGAUUCCCUCAAAACGAUCGUUCCAUGGAUUCUCACGAAACGGACGUCUUCCAUGGAUUCUCACGAGACGACCAACUUCCAUGGAUUCUCACGAAACGAAAUGCAAGGAACCGGCUGAUUUAUGACCCAAACAUAGAGAAUACAGUACCACAGGUGUCAAAGGAAACACACAAAUCCAUUAAAGACAGUAAAUUUGAAGACCAUUGGAAGCCACAAAACAACUAUCCACUUAGAGGGCUGAUGCAUGGGUGAACAUUCCAGGAAUGAAGAAAACAAAAGUAACUUGCAAAAAUAAAGAAAUGAUUCUAAAACAUCAAAGAAGACUUGGAACAAAAAAUAAAAAAAUGGAAAAAAGAGUUCCGACUUAUGGGCUCGCAUGCAACCUUGGGACACAGCAGUAAAUACUCACCAAGACAAUGUGGUGAAUAAUUUGCCACGACACACAUGGAAGCUACAACACUCAACCAGCUUGGAGGGAGUGACGUGUAGGUAGAUGUGUGGCCAACCCUCACCUCAUAGACCUCUACACUACCUUAUCAUUUGCAGUCUACCAAACUUGCCAAGGAAGCUAAGCACAGUUCCAAAUGCAUUAGCUGUCUCCCAAUAAACACCAAACUCCCAAAACAAACUGAAAUAACCUUAUUCUAACUAAUACCCUCCAUAUCACCUGCAGCUACUUGUAUUCCAAUCAAAUCCAUCCAGGAAAAGAGGGGGUCUCAUAACCAACGGUUACUAUUUGCCAGUGAGGAUAAAAAAACAAAUAAGUGUUUAUUUAUUUGAAGGCUUGCAAAAUGGAAAGCAACUCAUCAGCAGUACAUAAUAAUCCAGUUCCUUGGAAGACAUUUUAAUAAUAGCAGGGUUAAUGUGCAGUGGUCUAUUUAUUUGUAAUUGUUUGUUUAUUUAUUUGUAAAUGAUUAUAUAUAAUGGCUUGUUUAGUUUGUAAGGGUUUUA